GACGAACGCUGGCGGCGUGCCUAAUACAUGCAAGUCGAGCGCUGAAGGUUGGUACUUGUACCAACUGGAUGAGCAGCGAACGGGUGAGUAACGCGUGGGGAAUCUGCCUUUGAGCGGGGGACAACAUUGGGAAACGAAUGCUAAUACCGCAUAAAAACUUUAAACACAAGUUUUAAGUUUGAAAGAUGCAAUUGCAUCACUCAAAGAUGAUACCGCGUUUUAUUAGCUAGUUGGUAAGGUAAAGGCUAACCAAGGCGAGGAAACAUAGCCGACCGGAGAGGUGGUCGGCCAAAUUGGGAACGAGAACACGCCCAAGAUCCCACGGGGGGGCACAGUAGGGGAACUUCGGGCAUUGACGGAAGUCUGACCGGGGAACGGCGGGUGGGUGAAGGAGGUUCUCGGGUCGUAAAAAUCUGUUGGUAGGGAAGGACGAUAGGGGGAGUGAACUGCUCAUCAAGUGACGGUAACUACCCAGAAAGCGACGGCUAACUACGUG
rnacentral:rRNA from 1 species